rnacentral:ncRNA from 1 species
GCUACUCCUACCUCAUAGCGCCGCGGGAGCCGUAAAAAAGGAGGAGACCAGCUCCGCCGGGCCGGCGGUGCGGCAGUGUGGAGACCUGCCGUAACGUCCAUGGAGGUUCGCUCUUCAUGGGCGAGGGGGACUUUGCGGAGGCAUGGCCCUUACGGCCCAGGUACAUGGCA